rnacentral:lncRNA from 1 species
GCUGCUCACUGUGCAGACUGCAGAGACUCAGUGGAGCUGCUGAAGUCCUCCUCUGUCCACUCCUUCAACUGCAGGUCUGUAAAGUCAGGUGGUUCCAUUAAUGAUGACCGUCUCUUACAAAGUGGACACUCCUGUGUCUGUGUGUCUGUCCAGCACUUGUGCAGACAGUCUUUACAGAAGCUGUGGCUGCAUGACAGGACGAAAGGCUCUUUAAAGAUGUCCCUGCAGAUAGGACAGACCUGGAGGAGAGGAGGACGUGUUCAGCCUGCAGCCGGAGACUGACUGUGUCUGUGCGGGCUGAGAACCAGGAAGUGAGCCGGUUGACUCUGUUAGACUGCAGCGUGGUUCCAAUUACGGAGGAGCCUGUUAGAGAUAUUUAGUGGAGCUUUAAAACUCUGCUCAUUUCUGUGUCACAUAUAGAUUUAGAUUGUCUGUAGGUUCUGACUCGGAGAUGAAAGCGGGUUAAACCCCGUUCCAGUCCGGCGGGGAGGACCGGAGCCUCCGCCUCAGCUCCGCCGCUCCUCAGCUGCUGCUCCUCGGUGUGACCACUUCUGUAAUUUUGUUUAGCAAAACAAGAGUGUGUUCUGUGAUACUGUAGAUAUAGUAAUGUGAUUUGUACAUGAAAUGUGUAAAUCAGUUUGAGAAUCAACAUGAGAAUGUAACUUUGUGGGUUUGUUAAAAGUGCCUUCUGUAAUAUUCUUAUGUGGUGUAAAUUGUAAUAAUCGUGUGAGCUUUAUCACCAAUUAAAAACACACCACCUCCACAACUGUUUCAGAUUUGUAUAAAAAUCAGAUUAGGAAUACAUUAAAAAGCUUAUGAUGUACUAUACCUGGCAAUCACUUCUUGUAUAAGUAAAUGGGUGAGUGACUAAGAAACACUGCUAGACACACAGCCACUUCCACAGAGGGAAAUAAAAAUAUAUCAGUUUCUGUGCCACCCCUGUGUGAGCUAUGGUCUCAGUCUGACAACGCUAUGAACACUGUCUGGCUCCGCCACUGGUUGUAGGAGGUGGUGGAAUUCAAAAUGAAAAAGAAAUAUCGAGAGAAACGUCCGGAAAUAUCCAAUAAAAUCCACCGAGAGAGACGUGACAGUUGAAUUAUCUGCUGACGUGAAACUGAAGUUGGAGAAGAGCAGCAUGGUGUUUGUGUUCAG